CCUGCCGCAGCUCGCCCAGGUUCGAGCAGUGCCCUGAUACGGCACCGGUCGCAGGUUCGAAUCCUGCCGGCAGGACCA
rnacentral:tRNA from 1 species